rnacentral:rRNA from 1 species
CCUACGGGGUGCAGCAGUGGGGAAUAUUGCGCAAUGGGCGAAAGCCUGACGCAGCGACGCCGCGUGAGGGAUGAAGGUCUUCGGAUCGUAAACCUCUGUCAGCAGGGAAGAACGGUCACUGUGCUAAUCAGCAGUGAAUUGACGGUACCUGCAAAGGAAGCACCGGCUAACUCCGUGCCAGCAGCCGCGGUAAUACGGAGGGUGCGAGCGUUAAUCGGAAUUACUGGGCGUAAAGCGCUCGUAGGCGGUAUGUCAAGUCAAGGGUGAAAUCCCCGCGCUCAACGUGGGAACUGCCUUUGAAACUGGCAAACUGGAGUGUGUGAGAGGAUAGUGGAAUUCCAGGUGUAGGAGUGAAAUCCGUAGAUAUCUGGAGGAACAUCAGUGGCGAAGGCGACUAUCUGGAACAUAACUGACGCUGAGGAGCGAAAGCGUGGGUAGCAAACAGGAUUAGAUACCCUGGUAGUC